AAGUCGUAACAAGGUCUCCGUUGGUGAACCAGCGGAGGGAUCAUUACCGAGUUUACAACUCCCAAACCCAAUGUGAACGUUACCAAACUGUUGCCUCGGCGGGAUCUCUGCCCCGGGUGCGUCGCAGCCCCGGACCAAGGCGCCCGCCGGAGGACCAACCAAAAACUCUUAUUGUAUACCCCCCUCGCGGGUUUAUUUUAUAAUCUGAGCCUUCUCGGCGCCUCUCGUAGGCGUUUCGAAAAUGAAUCAAAACUUUCAACAACGGAUCUCUUGGUUCUG
rnacentral:misc_RNA from 1 species